UUUCCUACGGGAGGCAGCAGUAGGGAAUAUUGCACAAUGGGGGAAACCCUGAUGCAGCGACGCCGCGUGAAGGAUGAAGUAUUUCGGUAUGUAAACUUCUAUCAGCAAGGAAGAAAAUGACGGUACUUGACUAAGAAGCCCCGGCUAAAUACGUGCCAGCAGCCGCGGUAAUACGUAGGGGGCGAGCGUUAUCCGGAUUUACUGGGUGUAAAGGGAGCGUAGACGGUUCUGCAAGUCUGAAGUGAAAGCCCGUGGCUUAACCGCGGAACGGCUUUGGAAACUGUGGAACUGGAGUGCUGGAGAGG
rnacentral:rRNA from 1 species